ACUGCUCACAAAGGUCACAUGUGGACAAACUAGAACAAAACCUGGCAAAUUGAUGUUUUUCCUCCUGUGCAUUCCCACAGUGCACAUGCAUGGUGGACAGCAGAGCGACUAAUUUCUGCAAGGAGGUAUUUCUCGCAACACAGGCCCGCCAAUUGGACCACGCAUGCCGAUACCAUGUCCAGUCCCGCGCUGCAUAUUUCCUCACUGCGUGCAGAAUAAAUCUACUGACCAAACAUAACUUAACCUUGCCCACCGACCUUGGGGCUUAGCCCCCUUGACCCACUUAUUUGUGUCAGUACUGACACUCACAAACACUUGGCUCUUUUCCAUUACCUUUACAUCCUGGAUUGAUGCACAAGACUUUGUUGUGGUGUGAAUACGCUCUUCAUUUGAAUGGAGACACGAAGAGGAAAAUGUUUCAUGAGGUGGGCUGAAAAAGACUGCGGUAAGUGAAGGAUGGGGCAGCAGGAGGAGGGGCAGGUGGCCAGCAGGAGCUAUAGGCUGUGGUAAGCCAAGGAUGGGGCAGCAGGAGGAGGGGCAGGUGGCCAGCAGGAGCUAUAGGCUGUGGUAAGCCAAGGAUGGGGCAGCAGGAGGAGGGGCAGGUGGCCAGCAGGAGCUAUAGGCUAUGAUAAGCCAAGGAUGGGGCAGCAGGAGGAGGGGCAGGUGGCCAGCAGGAGCUAUAGGCUAUGGUAAGCCAAGGAUGGGGCAGCAGGAGGAGGGGCAGGUGGCCAGCAGGAGCUAUAGGCUGUGGUAAGCCAAGGAUGGGGCAGCAGGAGGAGGGGCAGGUGGGCAGCAGGAGCUAUAGGCUAUGGUAAGCCAAGGAUGGGGCAGCAGGAGGAGGGGCAGGUGGGCAGCAGGAGCUAUAGGCUAUGGUAAGCCAAGGAUGGGGCAGCAGGAGGAGGGGCAGGUGGGCAGCAGGAGCUAUUGUAGUUACCGGAGUCGGGUGGCUCAAAAACUAUUCUCGGUGGGUCUCUGUGACCCUCUGACCUUGUCUGUUAUAUCUAAAAUCCUUUAAAAGCAGGUCCGUUAUAACCAGGGUUUACUGUAUUUGCCAUAACUCAACUCAUGCAUUAGAUAGGACAUUUUGGUUAACACCAUUAGACGCAGCAGUCAUUGGAGAACUCAAAUAACUACAAAUAUGUUUGUGAAAGCUCAAUAAAACAUAUACUAAAUAAAUUGGGUAGGCGGUGGCUGAACUGGUAGCGUACUGGGCCCACAUUCACCGCGUGAUGGACGACGUGAGUUCAAAUCCCCACGCUACCACCUCGGAUUUUUCAGUCACCAGCGAGUGGCUUAAAACUACCCACAUGCUGUCCUGAAGACCACCCAUCAACCCGGACUCUAGAGGAAGCUGUCCAAGUGAAUCAAGAAUGAGUUCCGGGGGACAGCAUGAGCCAAUGCAAGAUGGCGCCACUAUAAACACUCGCCUGCGCCAGAACGGGCUGGGCCGACCAUCAGGCCCCACCUGGAAGAAGCCUUGGGCCUACCAUCAGGCCCCACCGGGAAGAUGCCUACUGGCGCAAUAGGCAGCAACGUAAAAAAAAAGAAGAAAAAAAAUAGUGACGAGUUGAAGUUAAAUAAUCAGUCCGUAAUGUUUAUAACACAUAGUGCACAUAGCUACCACUUGCAGCGGCUAUCAAGUAAAGACUAAAAUAAACGAUUCCAUCUUAUAGAGAAAAGCCUCCUGAUGGUGUAUACAAAUUUUUCAUAAAAUGCCAAAUAAGUGAAGAACGGAACUGUGUAUAUAAAUUUUCCACCUCAUUCCUCGACGGGGUGGGUGCCGGCAAGGAGUGUGUAGUGUUGCUGCGCUAUACUGCUCCGCGGAGUCACAUUGCCAUGACAACCUUCGCCUCGCCUUGCUUUUCGUGUGGCCACAGAAACUCGCCGUGCCGCUCUCGCUAGCUUCCUCACUUUCUGUGUGGCCUUACACUCUCAGCCCUAAAUCAGCCCUCUAAAAAGCCCCAAACCAGCCCAUUACUAAACCCAUAGCACCCUGACAACUCCUUCUCAGCCCCUGUCCUUCCCUUCUACUCUUUUCCACCCCCUCAGGCACCAAAAUCAGACCCAAAAAUUACCCGUCUCUUUUUUUUCUCUCAGCACUGACAGUAACCCUACAGUCUUAUCCUCGCCCUCUCGCCCCUAAAAACAGCCCCUUCAGACC